GAUGAAGAACGUAGCAAAAUGCGAUAAGUAGUGUGAAUUGCAGAAUUCAGUGAAUCAUCGAAUCUUUGAACGCACAUUGCGCCCGCCAGUAUUCUGGCGGGCAUGCCUGUUCGAGCGUCAUUUCAACCCUCAGGUCCCCCUUUUCGGAGGGGGAGACACCCUGGUGUUGGGGGACGGCCUGGCCUUCUGCGCCGCGCCGCCCCCGAAAUGAAUUGGCGGCCUCGUCGCGUGCCACCCCUGCGUAGUAGCACAACCUCGCAACGGGAGCCCGACGCGGCCACUGCCGUAAAACGCCCAACUUUUAAGAGUUGACCUCGAAUCAGGUAGGAAUACCCGCUGAACUUAAGCAUAUCAAUAAGCGGAGGA
rnacentral:misc_RNA from 1 species